rnacentral:lncRNA from 1 species
CCGUGCUCCGGGACAGAGGGUUGAGUGGGACCCAUCCUUGGUGGGCGAGGAUCGUGGUGAGUGAUAUCAUGGACAGCUUCACCAUGGUAUCAUGUAUCAACUUUAGACUUAUCGUUAUUUUCCACUACUUUGAACUCUGAACACUCAUUAUGAUUUGAACUCUGAGCUACUUUAUGUUUUGAAACUCGAUUUGUAAUAAUUAAUUUGGGACCUCUGUAAUAUUCAUUUGGAUUUUUGUAAUCUCUAGGCUCGUCUUGGUACGAGUGUUGUAUGGUUGUUUCGAUUGAAAAUACGUGGUUGUAUCGAGUGAAACCCAACACACUACCAUUUUAAUUCGAUUAAAGUGUCUAUUUG